AUACGUAGGGGGCGAGCGUUGUCCGGAAUGAUUGGGCGUAAAGGGCGCGUAGGCGGCCCGGUAAGUCUGGAGUGAAAGUCCUGUUUUUAAGAUGGGAAUUGCUUUGGAUACUGCAGUGCUAGAGUGCGGAAGAGGUAAGUGGAAUUCCCAGUGUAGCGGUGAAAUGCGUAGAGAUUGGGAGGAACACCAGUGGCGAAGGCGACUUACUGGGCCGUAACUGACGCUGAGGCGCGAAAGCGUGGGGAGCGAACAGGAUUAGAUACCCUGGUAGUCCACGCGGUAAACGAUGAAUGCUAGGUGUUGCGGGUAUCGACCCCUGCAGUGCCGGAGUAAACACAAUAAGCAUUCCGCCUGGGGAGUGCGGCCGCAAGGUUGAAACUCAAAUGAAUUGACGGGG
rnacentral:rRNA from 1 species